rnacentral:rRNA from 1 species
AUUGAACGCUGGCGGCAGGCCUAAUACAUGCAAGUCGAACGAAAACAGGAAGAAGCUUCCCUUUUUGCGGUCGAGUGGCAGACGGGUGAGUCAUGUCUGGAAAACAGCCUGAUGACGGGGAAUAACUACUGGAAACGGUACCUAAUACCGCAUAACGUUGCAAGACCAAAGAGCAGUAGCUUCAGGCGGCUUUCCAUUCACUGUGCCCAGAUGGGAUUAGCUAGUAGGUGGGGUAACGGCUCACCUAGGCGACGAUCCGUAGCUGGUCUGAGAGGAUGACCAGCCACACUGGAACUGAGACACGGUCCAGACUCCUACGGGAGGCAGCAGUGGGGAAUAUUGCACAAUGGGCGCAAGCCUGACGGAGCAAUGCCGCGUGUAUGAUGAAGGCCUUCGGGUUGUAAAGUACUUUUAGCAGGGAGGAAGGGAGUAGAAAGAAUCCAUUCACUAAUUGACGUUACCCGCAGAGGAAGCACCGGCUAACUCCGUG